rnacentral:rRNA from 1 species
AGAGUUUGAUCAUGGCUCAGGACGAACGCUGGCGGCGCGCCUAAAACAUGCAAGUCGAACGAGAAGCCCGGGCUUGCCCGGGUGGACAGUGGCGAACGGGUGAGUAACACGUGAGGAACCUGCCCCGAAGACCGGGACAACACCGGGAAACCGGUGCUAAUACCGGAUACCUUCACCGGAUCGCAUGGUCUGGUGAAGAAAUGGAUUCCGCUUCGGGAUGGCCUCGCGGCCUAUCAGCUCGUUGGUGAGGUAAUGGCUCACCAAGGCGACGACGGGUAGCUGGUCUGAGAGGAUGUCCAGCCACACUGGGACUGAGACACGGCCCAGACUCCUACGGGAGGCAGCAGUUAGGAAUCUUGCGCAAUGGACGAAAGUCUGACGCAGCGACGCCGCGUGCGGGAUGAAGGCCCUCGGGUUGUAAACCGCUUUCAGCAGGGACGAAAUUGACGGUACCUGCAGAAGAAGCCCCGGCCAACUACGUGCCAGCAGCCGCGGUAAUACGUAGGGGGCAAGCGUUGUCCGGAUUUAUUGGGCGUAAAGAGCUCGUAGGUGGUUCGGUAAGUCGGAUGUGAAAUCUCCAGGCUCAACCUGGAGGGGUCAUUCGAUACUGCCGUGACUAGAGGUCGGUAGGGGAGUGUGGAAUUCCUGGUGGAGCGGUGAAAUGCGCAGAUAUCAGGAGGAACACCCGUAGCGAAGGCGGCACCCUGGGCCGAUACUGACACUGAGGAGCGAAAGCGUGGGGAGCGAACAGGAUUAGAUACCCUAGUAGUCC